UACGGAGGGUGCAAGCGUUAUCCGGAUUUACUGGGUUUAAAGGGUGCGUAGGUGGACUUGUAAGUCAGUGGUGAAAUCUCCGGGCUUAACCCGGAAACUGCCAUUGAUACUAUAAGUCUUGAAUUAUCUGGAGGUAAGCGGAAUAUGUCAUGUAGCGGUGAAAUGCUUAGAUAUGACAUAGAACACCAAUUGCGAAGGCAGCUUACUACGGAUAUAUUGACACUGAGGCACGAAAGCGUGGGGAUCAAACAGG
rnacentral:rRNA from 1 species